GAUGAACGCUGGCGGCGUGCCUAACACAUGCAAGUCGAACGAACCUUGGGGAACAGAUUACUUCGGUAUGAAGUUCCCCGCUGGUUAGUGGCGGACGGGUGAGUAACGCGUGGGUAACCUGCCGUAUGCAGGGGGAUAACAGUUAGAAAUGACUGCUAAUACCGCAUAAGCGCACAGUAUCGCAUGAUACAGUGUGAAAAACGAUAGUGGCAUACGAUGGACCCGCGUCUGAUUAGCUAGUUGGCGGGGUAACGGCCCACCAAGGCGACGAUCAGUAGCCGGCCUGAGAGGGUGAACGGCCACAUUGGAACUGAGACACGGUCCAAACUCCUACGGGAGGCAGCAGUGGGGGAUAUUGCACAAUGGGGGAAACCCGUGAUGCAGCGACGCCGCGUGAGUGAAGAAGUAUUUCGGUAUGUAAAGCUCUAUCAGCAGGAAAGAUAAAUGACGGUAACCUGACUAAGAAGACACCGGCUAAAUACGUG
rnacentral:rRNA from 1 species